UUUAACGAAAUUCGAUGUCAUCGAUCCAUAAUCGUUAAAAAACCUCGCGUACAAUGACAUAAAAUACACUCUGUAUAAAAACUUGACUUCCGGUCCGCCGAUGUCGCUUCCCCUUGCUGGACAUAUCUAAAUGACCUAGCGUAGCGCCAGUUGAUAUUAUGUCGAUCCCAUACUAUUGAGAUGCCGUCACUUGCAGCUUCCCAUGGCCACGCAUACCUACAUAAUCUGAAUAACCAGUAUUACAAGUUUAAAUGUAUUUGAUGUAGUAGAAGGAACAAUAAUAUAAUCAAAAUUGUAAUACAUGUUAGCAAAGCACUUUUUGUUAGACUAACACUACCACAUAUCUACGUACUCUGUUCUUCAGUGAUCAUAUUAUACCUAACUGGUAGGAGGAACAUAAUAAUAUACACAUCGCCAAUAUACCAGCAUCACAAUAUUUUUGUCUUGUGUCUAGUACACUACUAGUGUCAGCCUUAUAUUGACCAUUAUAUUAUUGUAUUAUCAUUUAUCAUAAUAUAUGAAGUUAAUGAUUAAUCAAUUAACUUCAGAUAUUGUCAGUGCUUAAUAAAUAUUAGAAAAUGUACGUUAAAAUAUUGUUUAGUAAUUUAUAAUAAUUAAAUUAAAUAUAUUUGCUUUAAUCUCAGCUCAAAAUCAGCAAUGGAGAUGACAUAUUCCAGGAUAAUUUAUUCAUUUUUAAUUUUCGGUAAGGCCAGCAUAAUGUGCUAAGGCGACAAUAAUAUUUGGCUCUACAACAUCGCAGUACGCGUAGGAACGAGCAGUCCUGUUAUCACUGAGUGAUUCGGCAGUAACGUAAGGAUCCGGAAUUUUGUGUGACAGAAAACUCGAAAGACGACAAGCGGUAUCAUCAUGCUCAGUGUUGGUGAUUGUUGGAUAAAUAAAUAUUACCUAUAUUAUUAUAAGUGAAAAUAGUUGUGGUUAGGGCUCCAAGGACUUGGAGACUCAAGGCGGGUUUCCACUAUACACUUACGCGUGUACGUGCAUACAAAUCCUUUGCUGUGAUUGGUUCGUUAGGUUAAGUAACCACACGAUUCCCCACGAUACCAUGUUGUUGGACAUAUAGCUGAACACUUUUUGUGUACACGGCAAACGUGUAUAGUGGAAACCCUCCUUUAAGUCAUAAUAGGCACCUUCAAUCAAUAUACUAUCUAUAUUUAAUAUUAGGCCCUCCUACAUAUUAUAUUCAUAAAAAUUGGUUUGGGGCAGUGAAACUCCUUUGAUUUUCUUCAAUAGCAUCUUGUUCGAUGGGAAAGUGAAUCUAGUUGGUGCAUUCGGGAGGUCAUAUUUUAAAAUUCUCAAUUGUUUUCAAAAGCGUGUAACGGUUAAGUUUUAUGCCUUUUCCUAUUACAAAACUAUAGUAAAAUAUAACACAUAUUUUAUAAAGGUAAUCAAGUUAAUAUUUAUUUCACAUAUAGCUUUUUAUGUAAUACAAUGAAUUAAUUAUGAAUAUAAACUAAAUAUAAUGACAAGACAUUUGCUAUAGAAAACUCUUACGGAAGUUUUCGUUGUAUACAAAAUAAAUUCGCGGUUGACAAUAUAAUGCUUCCCAUUCACAUUUAAUAUAAUUGAAAUAACUCACAGUAUCGCAGAUUACUUAUUUUGGUAACAGUUGCCGUAGUAGAAACGGUGUAGCUAAUGACGACAAUUAGGACGCUGGUGGUCUGUUAUCGCAGAUAUCGAUAAGGACGGUGGGCAGCGGCAGUCACACUGCGGGACGAGACGUAACUACAAUAUUUAUAAUUAGUGGCGGUAAUGUUUUUAUUAUAGUUGCCGCGACGUUUUUAAAUACAACGGCGGCGAUACGGCGGUGCUUAUUACGCGUCAUAGAGCUCUGUACGGUCUGGUCUAGACCGGUCCGGACUGGACCGGACCGGACCACGGUCCCGUCUUUUUCGGUCUUUGUGUAUUGUAAUUUAAUGUGGUUCGGUCCGGUUCGGUCCCUUUGUCUACAAAAAAAAAAAUGGUCCGGUCCGGUCCGUCUUCAAAUUCAUAUUAUAAAAAAAAAUAGGUCAUAUGGUCCGGUCUAAAGAUCUGCAUUUUGAACGUCGAUAAUAUAAUUUUCAUAUAAUUUAUAUUACGUAGUAAAAUAAAUAACAUCAUAUUAUUAUGUCAUAUUUACUUAGAUUAUAAUGUUUCGGGACACAAAAAUAGCUCUCACGUUCUAUAUGGUCUUGUUGUAAUAGAGUGUAGACUAGACAUAAUAUUCACCCAUUAUCGAUCAAUUAUCAGAAUUCGAGGUAGG